UGAAUGUUUCGACUGGUAGCAUUAUUCCAUCCUGAAUUAUUAUGUCAAUGAUAAUGUGGUAGUUCAGAAGGCUGAGGUAAUAUUUUAUUUAAGGAAUGGAUUGAGAAUCUAAUCAUGUGUCCCUAAACGAAGCUAAGUAAAGAGACUACGGUAGAAGGUGUAGCAUUGUAAGGUCAAGAACCUGUUUCUCAACAGGUCGGACGAAUUAAAUAACCCGCUCAGUGAAGCGCCGACACUACUCACUAAUAUAAUAGGUGAAGUUGAUACAUCUAUUAUAGUUUUAGAACCGUGUCUGCAACAAGAGGCUGACUGAGUUGACCACACGAGGGGGCCCUUUACCAGAGAGGCAAAGGGAGGUAGUGUAUUCGGAACUAGGGACGGCUUGUUAUAGCCAAUUGCCCUGUACACAAAACCUUGAAAUCCAAACCCGAGCGGCAGAUGUGUGUAAUUUAGUCAGCAGACAUCUCAGCUGAGUCACAAGACGAAGCUCUCGAUUUACCGAUCGAUCUACGUUCCCACCCUCACUUAUGGUCACGAGCUUUGAGUAAUGACAGAGAGGAUGAGAUCGCGGAUACAAGCGGCUGAGAUGAGUUUCCUCCGCAGGGUGGCUGGGCGCAGCCUUACUGUACGUACAGACCAAACGCGACUUCCGCGAGCGACACGACUGAUUUGCAUAGAAAGUCAAUGGGGUUGGGCGACUGACGGCGACCAGCGGCGACCAACAUGGCAGCGACACGACUGGGGUGUGCAACGCUACAAGAUUUGAGCUACAUACGGCGACUCCGGCUACUCAAGACGACACAACUGGGGUACAGCGACAGUCGCAGAAGUUCACCACCUGCGGAGCGUUGACCAAUCAGAGACCAGAUCCGCGAGUGACGUGUCCCGGCGGAGGAGAAGCAAAUCGCUGCGGUUGUUUACAAGCAGACUUUCCGCCGUCCUGAGAGUGGCUCAAAUCGUGCAUUUUUUAAUUUCCACCGGAACAUAAAUAGGAAGAAUCUUGUCCGGAGGGAAAGUUCGCCACAACGGUGGCGUUCCUGCCCUUCAUCUCCAAGAGAGACCUCGGCCAACAUGACUGGAGAUGCAGCAGCAGCUGCAGCAGCAAGGUAGCAGGAGAGGAGGAGGAUGGAUCCACUCAUGAUGUUGGUGAUGAUGAUGAGGAGGAGGAUGGACGUCCCUCUGCCUCACCUGGUGCUGCUGCGUCUCCUCCACCUGCCACUGGCCCUUGUCAUCCACUGCUGCUCCCCAUGACAGCGAUGGAAGAGACCAACAGAGGAAGGGGUCCCCCGAUGCUGAAGCUGAGCUCAAACAUCUACUAAUGUACUCCCUCCACACACCCAGCUCAGAAGAAGGGACAGUUUUCAAGGUCCUCGUUCCUUCCAGGUUCCACAUAAAUUUAAAAUGUACAUGUUACUUUACCAAGCAAAACAACAGCUGACUGAAACCAUUUGGACCCUUCAUUUAUUUUCUUUGUAGCCACAGUUUCAUUAAAGAACCGGAUGCCGCCCCACUUCCUCCGCCUCUCUUGACCCUCGUCCCUCUGAGGAAGAUCCUUCAAAACACACCUACGUAGUUCACUUCAAGUUUGACUGUGAUUCUGUGUGUAUUGAAUGAGUAUAAAUGAAUGGGGUUACUUUAUUUUUGCAAAUAAAGUGUUUGACAAUGAACAUUUCUUUUUGUGAAAAAUGGAUUCACAGAAAAAAAUAAAAUCAAAAGCACUUUGCAAAAUAUCAACAAAUUGAGUUGAACACAGCUUUGUUUUAUUGCAGAGAUGAAAUAUAUAUGCAAGAACCUAGGCUUUG